ACAUUACAUUAGCUAGUUAAAAAGACAAUAGCAAUCAGAAAUGGUGGAAAUAUACUUAUUUUGAUUUCAAUUUUAAUAGGAACUGGUAUUGAAAUAUGGAAUAACAGGGAAUCACUUAAAAACAUUUUUUAAAAAACACUGGAAAAAAAAUAAACCACAUGAAGAAUUUAUGAAGUGUUAUUAUUUUUUCAAAAACAAAGAAUGGAAGAAGAAAAGAAUCACUGAAGACAAUAUCAAAUGCCAUUAGAAGAUAAAAAACUUAAGUGAAUUGUAAUUUUUUUAUACCUAUAACAUUGAAUUAAUACAUUUUUAUAUUGCAUUAAAAAAUUGUAAUAAGUAAUAUGUAAGUAAGAAAAAAUUUUUGUGGUAUACUUUAAAAUUAAAAAUAAGGUAAAUGUUGCUUAGUUUAUUUAAACACUUAGUUAUUGCAGAUCUUUGAAUAAUGGUAUCAGAAUAAUAAUAAAAUAAGCAAGAUUAUUUUUUAAUAAAUUAUAAAAUUUACACAAAUAAGCAUGUUUAGGAGUGCUUCAUAAUAUUGUGCCUAUGAUCUAAAAUAUAAGAAAAUAUACAUUGUUACA